GAUGAACGCUGACAGAAUGCUUAACACAUGCAAGUCUACUUGAACUUCGGUUUGGGUGGCGGACGGGUGAGUAACGCGUAAAGAACUUACCUCACAGUUAGGGACAACAUUUGGAAACGAAUGCUAAUACCUGAUAUUAUGAUUUUAGGGCAUCCUAAGAUUAUGAAAGCUAUAUGCGCUGUGAGAGAGCUUUGCGUCCCAUUAGCUAGUUGGAGAGGUAACGGCUCACCAAGGCGAUGAUGGGUAGCCGGCCUGAGAGGGUGAACGGCCACAAGGGGACUGAGACACGGCCCUUACUCCUACGGGAGGCAGCAGUGGGGAAUAUUGGACAAUGGACCAAAAGUCUGAUCCAGCAAUUCUGUGUGCACGAUGACGUUUUUCGGAAUGUAAAGUGCUUUCAGUUGGGAAGAAAAAAAUGACGGUACCAACAGAAGAAGAGACGGCUAAAUACGUG
rnacentral:rRNA from 1 species